GAUGAAGAACGUAGCGAAAUGCGAUAAGUAAUGUGAAUUGCAGAAUUCAGUGAAUCAUCGAAUCUUUGAACGCACAUUGCGCCCCGUGGUAUUCCGGGGGGCAUGCCUGUUCGAGCGUCAUUUCACCACUCAAGCCUCGCUUGGUAUUGGGUAACGCGGUCCGCCGCGUGCCUCAAAUCGACCGGCUGGGUCUUCUGUCCCCUAAGCGUUGUGGAAACUAUUCGCUAAAGGGUGUUCGGGAGGCUACGCCGUAAAACAACCCCAUUUCUAAGGUUGACCUCGGAUCAGGUAGGGAUACCCGCUGAACUUAAGCAUAUCAAUAAGCGGAGGA
rnacentral:misc_RNA from 1 species